GUCAUUGUUUGAAAUAAAUUUUCCAAUAUAACAUCCACAGAAUACCUGAUAUAAAGCUUUAACAGUUACAGUAAUAUUAUUAGAUAUUUAUAUACAACAUUAAUUUGUUAAAAUGUGUCUUAAUACAAUAACAUAAAUACAAUAUAUAAUAUACAUCAAUGAAAAACAAUUUCAACUUAUUCAAAACACACACGUUUGUUUAGAAAUCUUAUAAACUUACUUAAACUUAUAAGAUCUGUACUGGUUGGUGAAGACGUAAUUUUUUUAUGUUUCCCUUCUAAAAAUUUGAACAAUAUAUAAUGUCAUGAAAUGCAUCUUCAAUGUCUAGAUUACAUAAACAACACUUUCCACUCUCCCGUUCUAUAUAAAAAAAACUAAAAUCACAAAAAUACUGAACUCCGAGGAAAAUUCAAAACGGAAAGUCCCUAAUCAAAUGGCAAAAUCAAAGGAUAAAACAUAUUCAAAAUUCAACUUGAAGUUAAUGGUAACAUAUUCUUAAUUUAAAAAAAAAUUUCAAAAGGCUGUUAUGCCUAAAAUAAUAAAAUAUUCUUCAAGUUAAAAUAUAUUAAAUAUAUAUAUACGAUAGUUUAAGGCUUUCAAACAGUUUUGAAUAGUCGCAAAGCAUUUAUAAUGUUGCAUGAAUGAAUUUCACAUCAACAACGGUACAAAACAUCUCAGAACUGAAUUGUGAUUCAUCUAGGAUUAUCAAGGGUCAACAUGUUUAUCAAAAUAAAGCUGCCAGUGAAAAAAAAAUAUAACCCUCUGCAUUUGAAAGGUUAAAGGAGCUUUACUUGUAAAAUCAAAGCAGAUUUUUAAGCGACAUCGGCGUUUUAAUUUCAAGUGUAUGUCGUCACUUCGUUUUUCAUCUUUAAUAAAAAAAAAUACAGAAUAAUAAUAAGGAAUCAAUGGUACUGAUAUUAAAUACAUUGACUAACAGCUGGGUUGCGUUCAAUAUCGUAGCGGCUACGUAGUGCUACGUAGAUUUUUGUCUACUGAACGAGUAGCUAGCCUAGCUGCUAUCAAUAUCUUAUGUAGCAGCUAGGCUAGCUACACGUUCAAUAGUCAUAAAUCUACGAAGCCCUAUUUAGAUCUAUGUAACCGCUACGAUAUUUAAUACAAACCUGGUUUGCGUUCAAUAUCGUAGCGGCUAUGUAGUGCUACGUAGAUUUAUGACUAUUGAAAGAGUACCUAGCCUAGCUGCUACCAACAUCUAUGUAGCAGCUAGGCUAGCUUCGCGUUCAAUAGUCAUAAAUCUAUGUAGCCGCUACGAUCUUGAACUCAACCCUGAUUUACCAGGGUCGAGUUCAAUAUCGUAGCUGCUACGUAGUGCUACGUAGAUUUUGACUAUUGAACGUGUAGCUAUAGACUAGUUGUUACAUAGAUAUUGGUAGCUGCUACGAUAUCGAACUCAACCCUGUGCUGUUUACGAUGAAUCGGCAGUGACACGUGAUUCAAAAAUGGUUUUCGAUUUAAUACCAUAUUGCAACAUGUUGAAAAUGAUAAUUAACAUUAAAAUAACACAGUUCGUUUUUUUUUAUGAAAAGUAUGCUGCAAAUUCAUUUUUUUUGUAAUAUCAGAUUACUUUUUAAAUUAUCUCGUUCCUCCUUUUUAGCUCACCUGACCUAAAAGGCCAAGUGAGCUUUUCUCAUCACUUGGCGUCCGGCGUCCGGCGUCCGUCGUCCGUCGUCCGUCGUCGUCGUUAACUUUUACAAAAAUCUUCUCCUCUGAAACUACUUGGCCAAAUUAAUCCAAACUUGGCCACAAUCAUUUUUUGGGUUAGUAGUUUGAAAAAUGUGGCCGGUGAGCCGGCCAUCAAACCAAGAUGGCCGCCAUGGCUUAAAAUAGAACAUGAGGUAAAAUGCAGUUUUUGGCUUAUAACUCAAAACCCCAAGCAUUUAGAGCAAAUCUGACGCGUGCGGUAAAAUUGUUUAUCAGUUCAAGAUCUAUCUGCCCUGAAAUUUUCAGAUGAAUCGGACAACCCGUUGUUGGGUUGCUGGCCCUGAAUUAGUAAUUUUAAGGAAAUUUUGCUCGUUUUGGUUAUUAUCUUGAAUAUUAUUAUAGAUAAAGAUAAACUAUAAACAGCAAUAAUGUUCAGCAAAGUAAGAUUUACAAAUAAGUCAACAUGACUGAAAUGGUCAGUUGACCCCUUUAGGAGUUAUUGCCCUUUAUAGUCAUUUUUUAACCAUUUUUCGUAAAUCUUAGUAAUCUUUUACAAAAAUCUUCUCCUCUGAAACUACUUGGCCAAAUUAAUCCAAACUGGCCACAAUCAUCUUUUGGGUUAGUAGUUUGAAAAAUGUGUCCGGUGACCGGCCAUCCAACCAAGAUGGCCGCAUGGCUAAAAUAGAACAUGGGGUAAAAUGCAGUUUUUGGCUUAUAACUCAAAACCCAAAGCAUUUAGAGCAAAUCUGACAUGGGGUAUGUAAAAUUGUUUAUCAGGUCAACAUUUAUCUGCUCAGAAAUUUUUAGAUGAAUUGGACAACCCGUUGUUGGGUUGCUGCUGACCCUGAAUUGUUAGUUUUAAGGAAAUUUUGCUGUUUUUGGUCAUUAUCUUGAAUAUUAUUAUUGAUAGAGAUAAACUGUAAACAACAAUAAUGUUC
rnacentral:lncRNA from 1 species